GAGCGCGCCCGCCCCCUUGCAGCCACGCGGAAGCGGAAGUAGUCCCGGCGGCGCGCGGCGGGGCAGGGUCCGGGGCUAGGGAGCAGCGGAGCGGGGCUGUUGCCGGUGGGGCCGGGCCAGACACCGUUCAGGCCUUUGUGCUGCGGAACGUUGGGGCCGCCUCGGCGCUAGCCUGCUGGGGUUUACUGGGUGUUAAGUAGACUUCAAAGCGGUGUGACAUCGCUCCGCCUGUCUCUUCCUCCCGUAAAAAGGGUAGCUGCUUUCUGAGCCAUCACAUACCAACUUCAUGUAUUCCUAAGAUUGUCAUCAGCUUCUUGUAUUUCUUUAGGAGGUUUAAUUACUUACAGGAUUUAGUGGUUAUAAAGUAAUUUAAGAUGUUUGUACUACUCAGUUUUAACUCUGUAAUUGACUCUUGUAUUAGGAGAUACUGUUUUAACUUGGGAAUGGUUAAGUGGCCAAAGAAUUAAAUUAUUUACGGAUAAGGGCUAUUUUAUUUGACUACUGUUGGCCUGCAACUUAAACUUGCAUCUUUUUUUUAUCCUAUGCUUUUUCUGUGUUAUGGCUGCUGCAACAAUAGUUCAUGAUACAUCAGAAGCUGUAGAGCUCUGUGCUCCCUGUGGGUUAUACCUUAAACCCAUUACAAAAAUGACCAUCAGUGUGGCACUUCCUCAGCUGAAACAACCGGGAAAAUCCAUUUCGAACUGGGAAGUGAUGGAAAGAUUGAAAGGGAUGGUGCAAACUCAUCAGUUUUCCACUCUGCGGAUUUCUAAAAGCACGAUGGAUUUCAUCCGGUUUGAAGGAGAGGUUGAAAACAAGAGUUUGGUUAAAUCUUUUCUGGCGUGCCUUGAUGGCAAAACAAUAAAGCUGAGUGGCUUCUCUGACAUUUUAAAAGUCCGUGCUGCAGAAUAUAAGAUUGACUUUCCUACCAGACAUGACUGGGACUCAUUUUUCCGUGAUGCAAAAGACAUGAAUGAAACUUUGCCAGGGGAAAGGCCAGAUACUAUUCACCUAGAGGGCUUGCCUUGUAAGUGGUUUGCGGCAAAGGACUCUGGCUCGGAAAAGCCCAGUGAAGAAGUCCUUAUAGAAGUAUUCAGUAAAUUUGGAGAAAUACGUAAUGUGGACAUACCCAUGCUGGACCCUUACAGAGAAGAAAUGACUGGCAGAAAUUUUCACACUUUCAGUUUUGGAGGCCAUUUAAAUUUUGAAGCUUAUGUUCAGUAUCGGGAGUACGCAGGUUUCAUUAAGGCCAUGAAUGCCCUGCGAGGGAUGAAGCUGAUGUAUAAAGGCGAUGAUGGCAAAGCAGUGGCUUGCAAUAUAAAGGUUUCUUUUGACUCAACAAAACAUCUCAGUGAUGCAUCAAUUAAGAAGCGUCAGCUUGAAAGGGAAAAGCUUCAAGAACUUGAAAAACAGAGAGAAGAACAAAAACGUAAGGAGAAAGAAGCUGAGGAAAGACAAAAAGAGGAAGAAAGGAAGCAGAGAGAGCUUGAAGAACGUGAGAGAGAGCGAAAAAGAGAAGAAAAGUUGCGCAAGAGAGAACAGAAACAGAAAGAUCGUGAAGUUCGACGAAAUAAAAAGCAACUUGAAAAGCUUCAAGCUGAAGAGCAGAAAAAACUGCAAGAGAAGAUAAAGUUAGAAGAAAGGAAGCUCCUGUUAGCUCAGAGGAAUCUUCAGUCCAUUAGACUAAUUGCAGAACUGCUAAGCAGGGCAAAGGCAGUAAAACUUUUGGAGCAAGAGCAUAAUGAAGAAAAGAUUCGACUUCAGCAGCUAGAGGAGAGACGAAGACUCCAGGAGGCUGAGCUCAAACGUGUGGAAGAGGAAAAAGAGAGAGCACUAGGAUUGCAGAGAAAAGAAAAGGAAUUGAGGGAGAAACUACUGAACAAUCUUCUGAGCAAGAAAAUGGAUGCAAUUAAUCAAAACAAAGAAGAAACUGAAGCAUCUCAGUCUGACAUGCUGAAGGAUCCUAGUGGUGCUCCACACACUGUGUCAUCCAGCUGCAUCACUUCUACCUCAGGACAGGCUGUUACAGGGAAACUGGCUCCCGGCUCUCAAAGAGAAGCAGUGUCCCCUGAGAGCGUAAACACUCAGUGCAAGUACUUGAAUGGCAACAUUCAUGACAAAGUUCAUGUCAAAGAAGGUCAGAAACUUCAUACCACAAACUCGGAGAAGUGUUCUGAGAAAAGAAGUUCUGGGUCAUGUGUUCCCACCAGUAAUCAGCAGCAGAAGAGCCUCUCUAGCUAUGACCAGAAUGCCUGCAGGAAGGACUCUCACUGUGAGCCGCGCAAACGUAGCACAGAGUCAAGAAGAAGAAAGAGCCGUUCAUGUAGCAGCAUAAACACUGAUGAGAGUAAGGGUAAACGAGAGAGGAGCAGACACAGAAGAGAUGUGAGUUACCGGGAUGAAAGGUACAGGAAAGAAAGGGGGGAUUAUAGACACUCUAGCAGAAGUUACAGUCCUCGACGAAGCCAUAGUCCUCGUCGAAGAAGUGUAAGCCCCAGGCGUUCACGUUACAGAAGAAGUCGCAGUAGCGAACGUAAGCGAGACAGAAGAGAAAGAAGUUAUAGUCGCAGAAGCGUGAGCAGGAGACGAAGGCACCGGAGAUCACUGACAGCUUCAGGAAGAAAAGCCUGAAAGGACCUUGAAGCUACUCGCAAAUGCUUACAUCCCAAAAUGGAGAGGGAAUGUGGAAGAAGUCCUCUUGCAGUCGGCCAGCUGAACCUAAUCAAAACCUGUUCAAACUGCUAGCACCUAAAGUUGCCCAGUAACUGCUCAGUGCAGAGUUUUAUCUGUUCAAACACUUAGCGGUAUUGUUGCUUCAGGUAUGUGUUUUGCAUCAAAGCUCUCCAAAAUCUUGAAUUCCCUGAGACUGAUACUGCCUUGUGUGUCCCUGUACUGGAUCUGGCUGGGAUUUGACUUAACACUCUUCGUAGCUGCUGGUAUGGCACUGGCACCGUGUUUUGGAUUUGUGACAGUGUUGACAACACACUGAUGCUUUGGCUAUUGCUGAGUGGUGCUUGCACAGUGUCGAGGCCUCCUCUGUUUCCCAUUUUGUGUGCACCCCUCCGAAUGGGUAGGCUGAGGUUUGGAAGGAACACAGCUGGGACAGCUCACCCCAACUGACCAAAGGAGUACCCUAUGACAUGUAACAUCAUGCCCAACAAUAAAAAUGAGGGAUUUUGUUUUUCUGAGGUGGCCAUUGCUCCAAGACUGGCUGGAUAUCAGUCUGCUUGUGGUCUUCAUUGAUGAUAGGCUUUGAACUGCAAGGAAACUUGAAAAAAGUUGAAACUGUAAUCUUACAAUAAGGUCACAAAUAUAAAUUAUUCUGUGCCCAAAGUGAUUUAUUCAGGUUUUUAUUAUGGCUGAGUUAUGUGCUUGUACUACUGCUAAAACCUCACUGAUGCAAUAACUUAAAGAAUGUAAUUUUUUAUACUAAACAAUUACUCUUUGUUCUGUAUUGAUAGUCAGUAUGUUUCUACCAGUUAUCUUCUAGGGGUCUUAGUGUUUCAAACGAAAGAACCUAGGAUACCAGCAGGCUUUAUAAUAAUGGCUUCUAGAAGCUGAAAUAUUGCAGUUACUGAUAUUUUUCCCUACUCUGGAAGAAUGUUGUGAUGCUGAUAGGUUAAAUCUUACCUGAUUUCUUGGAUUUGCAAGACUGUCUUUCAGGAGCUGUCUAAAAGCAGAUCCUUAGCUGCUAGAAAUCCAGUCCAGUGAGAAUGUCUGCAAAGGUAUCUGCCUAUUUAACUGGUAAAACUGGUCAGUGAGAAUUAUCUACUGGUAGUAACUUGACUCUCUUUGCCUAGGCUUGUCAUGGAUUGCAUGUUACUUAUGUCCCAUUGCAUCAAAGUUACGUAUCUUAUUCCAUUUGUCAAUACUUAUGAUUUGGUUUUGUUUUGGGGGCUUUGUUCCCAAGGGUUGUAAGCAGAAUUAUAGAUUUAUUAACUAUUCAUACCAGAACAUCAAUGAUCUGAGUGAACAAGGCUGUUUUAAGUCUUUGUUUAUUCUUCGUUAGGCUACCAUUGAAAAGUUGGAGCCUGAAUGUCAGCUUUCAUCUUGACUGAACACAUGGCAAGACCAAGCUAGAGGUGAGGAAAGAAAUCCUUGAAGAUGAUGGAAGACUUCAGUGGAAUAAUUUGUCCAGAAGCAUUAAGCUUAUCCCGUGCAUUUGACUUCAUUUUUUUGUCCUAAUUUCAAACUCUGUAUCUCUUCCUAUGCCAUGGCAAAGCAGAAUACUCAAAUAGUUCCGAGCUUCUUGCUCUUUGUCAGGCAGCCAUACCUGUCAAUUAAUUUUAAGCUUACUUUACAAUCAGCCAAUCAACCUCAGCUUCACUGUUUACCAGUAUGGUCUUUCCUUCAGUAAUAGAAAAUUUCCUCUGUGAGCAGGAUUGGUGUGGUGUAAAUAUGGGGUGUAAAUCCCAUUGCGCCAUGUGUUGGGCAACUCCAUGCUACAGUGAUGUGUCCAUGCCUGCUGGAAAACCUUGUCAGCAGUGAGUGAGACCUCUGAGCCCUACUCCACUGAGUCCCCAGAGAUGCCCAGGGUUUCUUCUGAUGCUCCCAUUCUUGAGUCCUAAGUCACACAGUGAGACAGGAAGAAGCUUUUCUCAGUUGUGAGGAUGAACCUCUGUUCUGAUCUCAGCUCCAGGAGAGAUGUCAUGUCUGUCACCACAAAGCACAAUGCUUCCCUUUUGUCCUCACAGAGGUUCCAGGAGAGUGGGAACCCACCUUGCUCCUGAGGAUGCGUAGGGCUCAGAAGAGUAUAAAUCAUCUAACGAUACAAGGCAGCAUGUGACCUCGUCCCGUUUGAGGAUGAGGACCCUGCUCAUCGCAGAUGGGUCUGAGCUGGACGGGGUGGGAAGGUUGUUGGCCAAAGCUCCUGUGCCUCCAUGUGCUGUGCAGGAGCUGGUGUGUUCUGUCCCUGCAUAUGCUGUUGCCUCACUGUGGCAGCUGGCACUAGCAGCUAGGAGUGGUUUUCCUGCAGCCCUUGUUAAACAGAGAAGAACAUAAUCCUCCAAAAUUGUAAGAAAUCAAAGUUCCUGCUGCUAAGGACAGUGUUACCCCACAGUCCUGUUCUCAUCCUUAAAGAAGAACAUCUCCUGUUUCUGUCUGAGGGCUGAAGAGUCUCUGCACUUACCAGCCUUCCAGCCUGCAGUUUGCUUUUUAUCUCCUAGCCUCAGCCUGCACUAGGUGACUCAGGAAGCAGCUUAUUCAACAGAAACUACAGCUUCACCACAAGGGCAAGGCCAAGCCCUUCAGUAUGAUUGUUGUGGUAGUUUCCAUCUGCUCACUGCCUCCUAUGGUAAUUUUGAUAAUGUACAAGUCUUAUUGCCCAAAGUCAUUACAUUAGUAAGAAGUGGUUACCAAAGCUGUUUGACCAUAUCCAUGGUUUCUGUCUAACUGACUCCACCUUUGCAAAGUAAUCUAUUAAAUGACCUAGAAUAAGGGCAUAUGCACGAUUAGGUAUGCGUAUAAAAAUAUUUUAUAUGUUCUCCGGAAGCAUCAUCUUAAAAGCUGUUAGGGAAAAUGGAAAUUUUUGUGGUGGCUCCUGAAAUUGCGAGCACAGUACUGUAGCAGGGACCACAAGGCUAAAAACACAAACCAAUGAGAGCUGAUCACAGAUCAGUGCUGCCUGGACAUCGCACCAGUGUCAGCUUUAGGGCAGUUCUUGAACAUAUCUGGGACUGUCUAACAGACCAUUGCAGCUGCUCAUGUAGCAGAGGUAGGGAUGUUAGAUUCUAUAUAAGAGAGCAAUUAAACUAAAUAGUUUGACAGGUGCCUUAAUUCAUAAAUGGUGAUCAGAAUUGACCACUGAUAGCUUGUAUUGCUAUACAAAUUAAGGAGGAAAUACAUGUAUUGCCUGUGUUUUGAUCUGGUAUCCUGCAUUCGAGGUUUGAUUAUAAUCUGGAUACAACAUACAUUUCAUUAUGUUGUAUGCUGUUGAUCCAUCCAUUCCUCAGCCCAGCUAACAUGGUAUUUGCACAAUGUAUCUUUUACUGCCUCACAAUAAAUUUGCAGAGUUGUCUCUAGUGUUUGUACAAAGCAGCAAGCUAGUCGCAGUUGAUAUUUCAGAACUGGGUGUACGGAAUGGAUCCCUCUUGUGCCUUACAUUCCUACAUGUGUAAGUAUCGUUGUUAAAAGCAAAUGUACCUCUGUGUUUUUGUGCUUAAUUUGAUACUGAGCUCUUGAGGUUUGUUUGAAAUGGUAUGUACCACCAUACUUUCUUCUUUGUAAUCAUAGCACAGAAAAUCAAUUUGAUCUGCUUCCCCAUCACCGGCUGCAUCCUCUGAAUAUAUCUCCUGCUUCACCAAAAAGAUAAUCAUAGAUUAACCCAAACAAAUGCUUUUCUGUAGUAGUGGGUUCUAAAACUUUUGAAGUGCUAAGGCUGACCAGAACUGGUUUUAAACUGGUACCAAGUUGCAUGUGCACUGUGGCACCUGUGAAGUGAGCUCUGCCUGCUGUGGAGGGGAUACCCAGGAGAGCUGUCCUUGCAGCUGGCCUGUUUACAGGACAAUGCUAAGGGCUGGUGGUGUGGUAGCACCGCUGUCACUCCCAGCUAGCAGCCUCAACCUGCCAACCAAGUGUCUGAGCAAGGACUGAUCACUCUUAGAUGGGGUCUUCGCUGCAAUUCUGCAUGUGGACCCAGAUGUGUGCCUGUAAGUGCUCUGUUAUUUUCUACCUUAACUGGAUAAGGGAAAGGCAGGCAAAGUCUUUACCUCCUGCUCACCACACCUGACGUAGCUGUCAAACAGCAUAAGGCUCAUUUGAAAUAAGCCACCUGGAGUGUUUGCCAUGGGGCUACUUCUUUCUAAAGCUCUCUUUUUGAAGAUAUGGAGAAGAUUGUCAGAUUAGCAAGUGUAAAAUGGCCUGUGCAAGGCAAUUGUGUGUCCACUGAUUGCCUUUAUGAUGCUUGACAGAGCACAAGUGAUUUCUGACAUUAAAGCUUGACUCAGCUGC